GAAACCAACAGGGAUUGCCCUAGUAACGGCGAGUGAAGCGGCAACAGCUCAAAUUUGAAAUCUGGCCUUCUGGUCCGAGUUGUAAUUUGUAGAGGAUGCUUUUGGUGCGGUGCCUUCCGAGUUCCCUGGAACGGGACGCCUUAGAGGGUGAGAGCCCCGUACGGUUGGACGCCUAGCCUCUGUAAAGCUCCUUCGACGAGUCGAGUAGUUUGGGAAUGCUGCUCAAAAUGGGAGGUAAAUUUCUUCUAAAGCUAAAUACCGGCCAGAGACCGAUAGCGCACAAGUAGAGUGAUCGAAAGAUGAAAAGCACUUUGAAAAGAGGGUUAAAUAGCACGUGAAAUUGUUGAAAGGGAAGGGUUUAUGACCAGACUUUUUCCAGGCGGAUCAUCCGGUGUUCUCACCGGUGCACUUCGCCUGGUUUAGGCCAGCAUCGGUUUUGGCAGGGGGAUAAAAGCCUCAGGAAUGUGACUCCCUCGGGAGUGUUAUAGCCUGUUGCAUAAUACCCUUGCCGGGACCGAGGUACGCGCUUCUGCAAGGAUGCUGGCAUAAUGGUUAUUAGCCACCCGUCUUGAAACACGGACCAAGGAGUCGAACAUUUGUGCGAGUGUUUGGGUGUUAAACCCUCACGCGUAAUGAAAGUGAACGGAGGUGAGAGCCCGUACGGGUGCAUCAUCGACCGAUCCUGAAGUCUUCGGAUGGAUUUGAGUAAGAGCAUAACUGUUCGGACCCGAAAGAUGGUGAACUAUGCGUGGAUAGGGUGAAGCCAGAGGAAACUCUGGUGGAGGCUCGCAGCGGUUCUGACGUGCAAAUCGAUCGUCAAAUCUGCGCAUGGGGGCGAAAGACUAAUCGAACCAUUAAACCAGCGGUAAAUUUUGAUUUACUAGGUGGUUAAGAGGUGGCCCGAGAGGGCUGACAUCAACCUAGGCCCGGGCCGAACUACCCUGUA
rnacentral:rRNA from 1 species